rnacentral:rRNA from 1 species
AGAGUUUGAUCCUGGCUCAGGAUGAACGCUGGCGGCAUGCCUAAUACAUGCAAGUCGAACGAGAGGAAGGGAAGCUUGCUUUUCUGAAUCUAGUGGCGAACGGGUGAGUAACACGUAGGUAACCUGCCCAUGUGCCCGGGAUAACUUCUGGAAACGGAUGCUAAACCGGAUAGGUAGCAGACAAGCAUUUGACUGCUAUUAAAGUGGCUAAGGCCAUGAACAUGGAUGGACCUGCGGUGCAUUAGCUGGUUGGUGAGGUAACGGCCCACCAAGGCGACGAUGCAUAGCCGGCCUGAGAGGGCGGACGGCCACAUUGGGACUGAGACACGGCCCAAACUCCUACGGGAGGCAGCAGUAGGGAAUUUUCGUCAAUGGGGGGAACCCUGAACGAGCAAUGCCGCGUGAGUGAGGAAGGUCUUCGGAUCGUAAAGCUCUGUUGUAAGAGAAAAACGACAUUCAUAGGGAAUGAUGAGUGAGUGAUGGUAUCUUACCAGAAAGUCACGGCUAACUACGUGCCAGCAGCCGCGGUAAUACGUAGGUGGCGAGCGUUAUCCGGAAUGAUUGGGCGUAAAGGGUGCGUAGGUGGCAGAACAAGUCUGGAGUAAAAGGUAUGGGCUCAACCCGUACUGGCUCUGGAAACUGUUCAGCUAGAGAACAGAAGAGGACGGCGGAACUCCAUGUGUAGCGGUAAAAUGCGUAGAUAUAUGGAAGAACACCGGUGGCGAAGGCGGCCGUCUGGUCUGUUGCUGACACUGAAGCACGAAAGCGUGGGGAGCAAAUAGGAUUAGAUACCCUAGUAGUCCACGCCGUAAACGAUGAGAACUAGGUGUUGGGGGGAAUAAUUCAGUGCCCCCAGUUAACGCAAUAAGUUUCUCCGCCUGGGGAGUAUGCACGCAAGUGUGAAAUUCAAAGGAAUUGACGGGGGCCCGCACAAGCGGUGGAGUAUUGUGGUUUAAUUCGAAGCAACGCGAAGAACCUUACCAGGCCUUGACAGGGAAACAAAUACCCUAGAGAUAGGGGGAUAAUUAUGGAUCACACAGGUGGUGCAUGGUUGUCGUCAGCUCGUGUCGUGAGAUGUUGGGUUAAGUCCCGCAACGAGCGCAACCCUUGUCGCAUGUUACCAGCAUCAAGUUGGGGACUCAUGCGAGACUGCCGGUGACAAACCGGAGGAAGGUGGGGAUGACGUCAAAUCAUCAUGCCCCUUAUGGCCUGGGCUACACACGUACUACAAUGGCGACCACAAAGAGCAGCGACUUGGUGACAAGAAGCGAAUCUCAUAAAGGUCGUCUCAGUUCGGAUUGAAGUCUGCAACUCGACUUCAUGAAGUUGGAAUCGCUAGUAAUCGCGGAUCAGAAUGCCGCGGUGAAUACGUUCCCGGGUCUUGUACACACCGCCCGUCA